UCGUAAGGCGCAUCAUGCAUCGAGACUUUGCGGGCAGUAAAGGGCUCGCAGGCGGUUUCUUAAGUCUGAUGUGAAAGCCCCCGAGCUCAACCGGGGAGGGUCAUUGGAAACUGGGGAACUUGAGUGCAGAAGAGGAGAGUGGAAUUCCACGUGUAGCGGUGAAAUGCGUAGAGAUGUGGAGGAACACCAGUGGCGAAGGCGACUCUCUGGUCUGUAACUGACGCUGAGGAGCGAAAGCGUGGGGAGCGAACAGGAUUAGAUACCCUGGUAGUCCACGCCGUAAACGAUGAGUGCUAAGUGUUAGGGGGUUUCCGCCCCUUAGUGCUGCAGCUAACGCAUUAAGCACUCCGCCUGGGGAGUACGGUCGCAAGACUGAAACUCAAAGGAAUUGACGGGGGCCCGCACAAGCGGUGGAGCAUGUGGUUUAAUUCGAAGCAACGCGAAGAACCUUACCAGGUCUUGACAUCCUCUGACAAUCCUAGAGAUAGGACGUCCCCUUCGGGGGCAGAAUGACAGGUGGUGCAUGGUUGUCCUCAGCUCGUGUCGUGAGAUGUUGGGUU
rnacentral:rRNA from 1 species